rnacentral:rRNA from 1 species
GACGUAGGGCGCGAGCGUUGUCCGGAUUUACUGGGCGUAAAGAGCGCGCAGGCGGUCUUGUAAGUCGAAUGUGAAAGCCCCUGGCUCAACCGGGGAGGGUCAUUCGAUACUGCUCGACUCGAAGGCAGGAGAGGGAAGCGGAAUUCCCGGUGUAGUGGUGAAAUGCGUAGAUAUCGGGAGGAACACCAGUGGCGAAGGCGGCUUUCUGGCCUGUUCUUGACGCUGAGGCGCGAAAGCUAGGGGAGCAAACGGG